UUUAAAAUGUAGCUCUCAAACGCAUCUCUUGUUAAACUUACACAUAUACACAUAUGUCAAGUCAAGGCAAGAUAUUCAGAUUUUGCAAAGGAGUUUAAAGGGAGCGGGGGAUCUUCUGAAGUUAAAAUUGUUUAUCCCCAAAUAUAUUAGAUUGUUGUAAUAAUGCAGUUGUACGGAACACAAUUAUCAGAAGAAAAAGUCUUGCCAAGAGGUUGACGGUGUACAAAUGGGGAUAAAACAUUUAAGAUCCUGCUUAAUUACUCCGGCGAAGUGAAACGCUUUGAUUCUAUUUCCGCCUUUCCUCUAAUGAUUUUUUUCUCCCCAAAACUCUCCUUGCGAAUAGUACACCUGCAUUUCUGAGCAAAAAGUAGGCCACUCCGAAAACUGUCUGUCCAGGCAGUGGGAGAGUGGGAUCCGGAAUCCGGGUGCUCAGUGGGUCCGUGGCACCCCCUGAAGAGAAUUUGGCUUAAGACAGGACGCACUUGGUCCUCCUCUUCACUAGACAAAAUCGCUUCAAGUACAUCAUAAGAAUAAAAUGUAUUAUUUUUACCUUAGUAAUUCGAAUAACUUAAGGCAGAUUGCAGUUUUGCAGCUGGUACUUAAGCAAAACUGCCAUUAGGCGAGGGGACAUUUUUCUCGGGAGGAACUGAGUACGAUUUCAAAAACGAGGAUAGAAGGUUUGCUGUGUUCUUUUAAAAGCUGAUUUUUUUUUUUUUUUUUAAGUUUGAGUGGAGUGUUAUUACAAAAAUGUGCUUAAGUAACAAAACAAGAACUUCUGGACAUGCCUUGGCUGUGCACGUUUGACUCGAACUUUACAAAGCCGGGUAAGAUCCCGCUCCCACUGUGGUCAAAUACAAGAUGCUACUGGGUUCCGCCACGGCAAGAAGGGUCCUCGAACUGCUCCUGUUUACACAGAGAUGUGAUUCGGUCCGCUCCGUGCACACCUCUGGGGCACACCCGAACGCGGGAGGUCCGGCGUGUGCGCUGAGCCACGCGGGAUGCCCACGGCGGGAAGGACACUGCGACACCUCCGUGUUUUCUAUGUGAGUGAAGAAGGGGAAUAGUGAACCUGAUCGGCCUCAAAAACGAGAUGGGGGUUUCCCUGCUGAAAAGGUACCAACCGGCUCAUCCCGAUCGGAUGAACAACUGGACUUGCUGAAUACCGGGUGGGGGCGGUGAAAUUGUUUUAAGGAUUGGUUAACCCCUCAGGUGUAGUGAUCGUGGAUCUACGGCGGGGGACCAACCUGGAGGAGGCAGUCCCAUCCAGAGCAGACACCUGCGCAGGAUGAUGGAGACCUCGCCCCCCGCAGCCGGCACCCCACGGGCACCGUGGGGAGCCGCCGCCAGCACCACCCCCCCCCCCCCCCCCCGCCCGCUCCGUCACUGCCAG